GACGAACGCUGGCGGCGUGCCUAAUACAUGCAAGUCGAGCGCAGGAAACUGACGGAACUCUUCGGAGGGAAGGCAGUGGAAUGAGCGGCGGACGGGUGAGUAACACGUAAGGAACCUGCCUCAAGGAUUGGGAUACCUCCGAGAAAUCGGAGCUAAUACCGGAUAGUUCAUCGGACCGCAUGGUCCGUUGAUGAAAGGCGCUUCGGCGUCACCUUGAGAUGGCCUUGCGGUGCAUUAGCUAGUUGGUGGGGUAACGGCCCACCAAGGCGACGAGGCAUAGCCGGCCUGAGAAGGUGAUCGGCCACACUGGGACUGAGACACGGCCCAGACGCCUACGGGAGGCAGCAGUAGGGAAUCUUCCACAAUGGACGAAAGUCUGAUGGAGCAACGCCGCGUGAGUGAUGAAGGUUUUCGGAUCGUAAAACUCUGUUGUAAGGGAAGAACACGUACGAGAGGGAAUGCUCGUACCUUGACGGUACCUUACGAGAAAGCCACGGCUAACUACGUGCCAGCCGCCGCCGUAA
rnacentral:rRNA from 1 species